AAGUCGUAACAAGGUCUCCGUAGGUGAACCUGCGGAGGGAUCAUCAUAGGAAAACUAUUUUGUGAAUUUAUCACACCGAGCUGUGGGGAUUUCUGUGGGGUGGGGGAAAGGAGGAGGAUUUGCAUACUCUGAAGUUCUUUUCUCUCUCACUCUCACGGGGAGCUGCACAGCUUCACACAAACGAUCAUAACUAUCAGUUUGAGAAUUUGAUUUGGUGGUGGUGUUGAGUUUUUGUUUUUGUGAAGAGAAAAGUGUUUGCCUGAUACUGAUAUACAACUAUUCUUCUCCAAUGCCAUUGAUUUCGGUUGAUGGUCACUGGGCUGAAUAAUAUGGAUAAUCAAUAUACAACUUUCAACAACGGAUCUCUUGGCUCUCA
rnacentral:misc_RNA from 1 species